AGACGUCUACAUUAGAUACCCGGUAGUCCCAGCCGUAAACAAUGUGCGUUAGGUGUGUCGGUAACCACGUGUUACUGAUGCGCCGAAGAGAAAUCGUGAAACGCACCACCUGGGAAGUACGGUCGCAAGGCUGAAACUUAAAGGAAUUGGCGGGGGAGGCACCACAACGCGUGGAGCCUGCGGUUUAAUUUGGAUUCAACGCCGGACAUCUCACCAGGGGCGACAGCAGAAUGAUGGCCAGGUUGAUGACCUUGCUUGACAAGCUG
rnacentral:rRNA from 1 species